GACCCUUUCACGUCCAUGUUUGUUGGACUAUCGACGACCCCUGGCACGCAGAUUGCACCAUGGGGAGAUCCCCGACACUUACGUGGGAAAGGCUGCUGAUGGUAAAGGGACUGGUAAGGAAAAAGAAUGCACGUGGGAUCUCAGCUCCCCACUGGGAAUCGAACUCGCACCCUCUGCAUUGGAAGAUAACGUCUUAACCACUGGACUGCCAGCCUCAAGCUCUGCCUUCCUAGCUCAGUUUCCUCAAUGUAACAAUAUAGUUGCUGUAGCUCCAGCCAUCACACCCAUGUCCUAGGCAAGAAUGAGUUAAAAGGCUAUAAAAUCUUGGACGGUUUGCUGCUGCUACUGCUGCUAAGUUGCUUCAGUCUGACUCUGUGCGACCCCAUAGAUGGCAGCCCACCAGGCUCCCCCGUCCCUCGGAUUCUCCAGGCAAGAACACUGGAGUGGGUUGCCAUUUCCUUCUCCAAUGUAUGAAAGUGAAAAGCGAAAGUGAAGUCGCUCAGUCGUGUCCGACUCUUUGCAACCCCAUGGACUGCAGCCUACCAGGCUCCUCCAUCCAUAGGAUUUUCCAGGCAAGAGUACUGGAGUGGGGUGCCAUCGCCUUCUCUGUUGGACGGUUUAGAGUAUGUCAUAUUUAUUUUGUAUUUCAAGGGCCUAGCGUA